GUCUUCGUUGUGUAGUGGUCAGCACACUCAACGCUAAACCGAGAGAUCCGAGGUUCGAGUCCCGGCAAUGGCA
rnacentral:tRNA from 1 species